rnacentral:rRNA from 1 species
GAUGAACGCUGGCGGCGUGCCUAAUACAUGCAAGUCGAGCGAACAGACGAGGAGCUUGCUCCUCUGACGUUAGCGUCGGACGGGUGAGUAACACGUGGAUAACCUACCUAUAAGACUGGGAUAACUUCGGGAAACCGGAGCUAAUACCGGAUAAUAUAUUGAACCGCAUGGUUCAAUAGUGAAAGACGGUUUUGCUGUCACUUAUAGAUGGAUCCGCGCCGCAUUAGCUAGUUGGUAAGGUAACGGCUUACCAAGGCAACGAUGCGUAGCCGACCUGAGAGGGUGAUCGGCCACACUGGAACUGUGACACGGUCCAGACUCCUAAGGGAGGCAGCAGUAGGGAAUCUUCCGCAAAGGGCGAAAGCCUGACGGAGCAACGCAGCGUGAGUGAUGAAGGUCUUCGGAUCGAAAAACUCUGUUAUUAGGGAAGAAAAAAUAAGUAAGUAACUAUGCACGUCUUGACGGUACCUAAUCAGAAAGCCACGGCUAGCUACGUG